AGGCGAGGCCGACAGGCGUAGUCGAUGGAUGACGGGUUGAUAUUCCCGUACCGGCGAAGCACCGCCCAUGCUGACGCGCGGGUGCUAACCCACGCCCGGCCGCCAUAUAGGCCGCAUGUGUCAGGUUCGCCUGACGGUGUGGUUGUGGUGGUGGGGUCUGGGGAUCCUCCGUGCAGGUAGGCAAGCGUGUUAACAGGGGUGACGCACAGUGGUAGCCCGGCGGAUCUGAUGGCUUGGUCCGUUCAAGCGCGCAGCCCGUCUCCUAGGUAAAUCCGGGGGGCAGCCCAUGUGGUUGGGUGGGGGUGAGGCGUGAUGGUGACCCCAUGUUUGGUGGGGGAUAUCAGGGUGAUCCUGGGGUGCCGAGAAAAGCCUCGACGCGAUGGUGCCAGCCGCCCGUACCCUAAACCGACACAGGUGGUCGGGCAGAGUAUGCCUAGGCGCACGAGUGAAUCAUGGUUAAGGAACUCGGCAAAAUGCCCCCGUAACUUCGGGAGAAGGGGGGCCCUAUCCUUUGAAGCCCCGUUUUGCGGGCUAGGGGGGUGGGCCGCAGAGACCAGGGGGAAGCGACUGUUUACUAAAAACACAGGUCCGUGCGAAGCCGUAAGGCGAUGUAUACGGACUGACGCCUGCCCGGUGCUGGAAGGUUAAGAGGAACCAUCAACCCCCUUGUGGGGUGAAGUGGUGAAUUUAAGCCCCAGUAAACGGCGGUGGUAACUAUAACCAUCCUAAGGUAGCGAAAUUCCUUGUCGGGUAAGUUCCGACCUGCACGAAUGGCGUAACGACUUCCCCGCUGUCUCAACCAUGAGCUCGGCGAAAUUGCAGUACGAGUAAAGAUGCUCGUUUCGCGCAGAAGGACGGAAAGACCCCGGGACCUUUACUAUAGCUUGGUAUUGGCGCCCGCUAUAGCUUGUGCAGGAUAGGUGGGAGACGUUGAAGCUGUCACGCCAGUGGUGGUGGAGUCGUCCUUGAAAUACCACUCUGGUUAUGGCGUGCGCCUGAACCUGGGCCCGUGAUCCGGGUCAGGGACAGUGCCUGGUGGGUAGUUUAACUGGGGCGGUUGCCUCCUAAAGUGUAACGGAGGCGCUCAAAGGUUCCCUCAGCCUGGUCGGCAACCAGGUGUUGAGUGCAAGUGCACAAGGGAGCUUGACUGUGAGACCGACGGGUCGAGCAGGUACGAAAGUAGGAACUAGUGAUCCGGCGAUCCCGUGUGGGUGGGUCGUCGCUCAACGGAUAAAAGGUACCCCGGGGAUAACAGGCUGAUCCUGCCCAAGAGUCCAUAUCGACGGCAUGGUUUGGCACCUCGAUGUCGGCUCGUCGCAUCCUGGGGCUGGAGCAGGUCCCAAGGGUUGGGCUGUUCGCCCAUUAAAGCGGUACGCGAGCUGGGUUUAGAACGUCGUGAGACAGUUCGGUCCCUAUCCUCUGCGCGCGCAGGAGACUUGAGAAGGCCUGUCCCUAGUACGAGAGGACCGGGACGGACGAACCUCUGGUGUGCCAGUUGUCCCGCCCGGGGCACGGCUGGUUGGCUACGUUCGGGACGGGUAACCGCUGAAAGCAUCUAAGCGGGAAACCAUCUUCAAGACAAGGUCUCCACAAGGGGCUCCGGCUCCUUGACAGGCCCCCAGCAGACCACUGGGUUGAUAGGCCGGAAGUGGAAGACCGGUAACGGUUGGAGCUGACUGGUACUAAUAGGCCGACACAAACAACA
rnacentral:rRNA from 1 species